CAGUCAUACCACGUUGAAACACCAGUUUUCGUACGAUCCCCGAGGUUAAGCAACGUCGAGCUUGUUCAAUACCUAAAUGGGUGACCACUUCGGAAUACCAAUUGCUGUAA